UUCAUGUGAAACUGACGUAAAUUUUGUAAAGGAGUGAGAGUUUUACCAUUUGGUCCUAUAGUUAUGAAACACGGGAAUUUUAAUCGCCUGAACACAACAAUAAAAUUCAAAUGGCCAGUCUUACAAUGAAGAUAUCUAUUGUAUUCUACACUAUAUACUUCAUUUCAACCGACUUCUUACAUAUCUCUGGAAACUCAGAAAAAUGGAGUGAUUCUAUAGUUAUGAAACGCAGUGUAUUUAAUUAAUUUAAUUACUAGCUGAAUUUUGCGCUUUUGAAAAUGUUAAGCAGACCGCAGUCGAAGAUAGAAUUGUGGCAGGUCUAAGCGAAAAAUCUCUUCAACAGCGUUUGUUGAAUGAAGAUAAUUUAGGCAGGGAGAAUAAUUAUUACUCGGGAAAUGACUAGAGCGAAUGCAAAAUCUUUGGAGGAAAAUUCUUCUAUAGACCGGAUAUCUUCAAUACAACAUUUUGACAAAGCAAAUGCUAGUAGAGUUACGGAGAAGUUAUUAGAUACGUACAAAAUGACGAAUUAUCUUGAAGAGAUACAUAAUAAGAGCUCAGCGAAAAACUUAUUGGAAUUUGGAGAUGAAGGGUUUCAAGUACCAGUAGAGACGGACUAAGUGAUUUACUCAAGAGGAUGAACGCGGAGGUUGAGGACAGUGACGACAACGAUUGAGAUUCCGCUCCGUUCUUUGUUUUAAAGAGGCUUUAAACUCUGCAGUGCAUUCGCUCCUAUCACCGAUGAAGGUGAUUUUCAGUGUAUGUAUGUUUUGUCAAUUAAUAAAAUAAGUGAAUCAUGUUGGGUGGAGUCAACAAUUGAAGGGAAGACCGUAAAAAUGGAGGUUAAUUGCGGAUCAUCAGUUUCGGUGAUGAAUGAAAAUCAAUAUUUUUCAACACUUAGAAAUGUCAUAAACAGUCGAUUGUGGUAAACGGACAUAGUUUAAAAAUUGUCGGAGAAGUGUCGGUAAACGCCGAGUUUGAGAGUAAAACAGAAAAAUCCUUUAGUUGAUUAUAGAAUGUGAUAAUGAAUUCAUUCCUUUAACCCUUUCUCUACGGCAGUGUGCUCCGUUGGAGUGCUACCGCCGAACGGAGCAUUGCACCGGAAAGUAUGCACAUCGCGCUGGUGUGAUCGAUGCGCAGUAUCACCCUGAUGUCGUCUAAAGACGACGCUCGUACACACAAGACAUCGCGCGGAUGUCGUUUAUAGACGACGCUCGUAGCGAAAGGGUUAAUGAGCCAAAAUUGGAUAGAUGUAUUUUUUUCAUUUUUUAAAUUGAAGAAGUUUUUCCUCUAGUACUCAAACUAUAAAAUCCUCUAGUGGAAUAAAAGGUGAAACUUUUAUAGAGAAAUUGUGGGUGGAAUUCCCAAAUGUUAGUAAUAGAGAAUCUUGCAGUCCAGAAUAGUCAAAAUGACAGCGAAUGGAAAAUUUCCGCUGAAUAUUAUAUCCUUCAUGACAAAUGGUUGGCCUAGAAAAAAUGACAAACGCUUUGAUAACUUUUUCGCAAAUCAAUGAAUUGCAAAUUGUGGACGAGUGCUUGUUGUAUCAGGACAGAGUUAUAAUACCGCAGCUAAUGCAAAGCAGGAUUUUAAAACUUUUACAUGGCAAAUAUAUAGGAAUGGUAAAAAGGCUAGACGAUCAGUGUAUUGGUUCGGGAUUCAUUCGGAUAUAGAAAAGUUUAUAUCAGGUCCUGAUGUUUGCAACAGUAUGGCAGUAGUUCCCAGAAUAAAAUGUUGUUCUAGAGGCGAAUGAACUGAAAAGUUUAAGGUCCGUCAAAGCCAAAAAAGAAAAAGAAGAAAAGUGUUGUCUGAAUGGUGCCUACUACUAGAGCAUUUAGUAGAAUUUGUGUUGGUUUUUCCUACUUUAUGCACCACACAAACCUAAACGUAACUUCGUAUGUUCGGGUCCUAAAAACUACAAUACGUAAUCUCAUCAGCGAAUAAACUAAUCUCAUUGCUCGAUUGUGGUCUCUCAAAUCAGAAUUCUCUUUGCAAUUCAGUCCGUUUCCAUUCCCCAUCCGGGUCGGAGGAAGCCAUAGUUUCUUCGAUGAACUCCAUCCGAUUUUCAUGGUCCACCAAAAUCACUGUACGAGUUCGAGUGCCAUAUCCAGCUUCCGGAAUGCGCACGUUUAUACUUGCCAGGUGCUCUGCCUGCGCGGGAGUCCGACGCGAAAGUUCCUCAUCAGGAAAGUAUCUGCAAGUAAAUAGAUUGUAUGAAAUUAUACGCUUUCGGGUGAACUGAAACUGCCCGUACUCACUUCUCGUUGGAUCUAAGCAUAUUGAACAAAUUUUCUACGAGAGAAUCACGAGAUGCAACGUUCGACCUCUUGUCGACAAUCGCACCGAAUCGCUGUCGCCCAUUCUUGACCUUUUCUAGUGGAACUUCAAAAGUACUGUUGCCAAAUCCAAGUGGUCCCUCCAGAUUACAACGAUCUAUCCGACGCGGAGCGUUGCUAGAGUGCAACACCACAGCUCCCCCGGUCUGGUCCAGUUCAAUUGAAACAAAGUUGAAUGCCGGAUAUGCGCCAUCCGCCAGCAGCAGUUGUUUCGAAUAAUCUUCACAUGAUAACUUCCCCCGAAGGUAAUUGGACACGAUAGGACCCCUGCCGGUGACAGCGUUGCUCGAGUGAUCUUCACCCGUUACGUUCAGCAAUGCACCUAUUCUUAUCGUUCCUUCGCAACAACCCGCAGCGAGCCACGUUCCACCUUCUCGACCGGGCUCCAUGUCCCGUCCACCGAUAACAACAUGGUCACAAUCCUCCCAGGGAGCUGCUGCUUCCGCCGCUCUGGCAUAGUACUCAUCCCGGUUUGAUGCCACAAUGAGCCUGUAUUCUCCGGGCACUCGCUGACCGCUGUUGUUCACGUAGACAAACAGGAUACACAUUGUCCUUGUUUGGUUAAUACUGGGCGAUGGAUAUUGGGUAGGUUAGAUAGCUACUUAGGCGGUCACCUGAAACAAGCAAACGAAAAUAAAUCAUUGGUAAACCUCAUAAAUUCAAACUGAAUCAAACCGAUGCAACAGCUAACGGAUAAGCGAACUGAGCAAAAUGCAGAUCAGAACUGACAUAGCGAAGGUAGUUAGUAUCUGUUUACAAGAAUAUGUGCGAGUAUGCGCCUAGCGAGUCUUUCCGUUUGUCUGUUUGCUGUUUCCUCUCUGCGUUUGCGUUUGGGGUAUAAAUUUUGUUUGCACUUCAAGCCGGCGGUAAACGAUGCCCCGAAUGAUAGGCAAAUUGUGUUUUGAGGCUUCGUGCAACCGGGGCCAUGAGCACCCAAAUAUCAAACUUUCAAUAUUCCUGUCGGAGACAUGGAAUUUCAUCUGUCGAAGAAAUAGACCAAAUGUUCCGACCUGAAACCAAAAUUUGAAUCAAAGGGUAAACGCUUCACUACAGCACUGAUAACGCUUGGCACAGAUAAUGUGGAGUUAUUUAUGUGUCAAAUUCAAACAGCCACACAAAGGCGCACGUUUCUCGACAGCUCACACGGCAGGGCGAUAACGACUUUCCAACUGUUGGGGGAGCGUAUGUACCUCGAGAUGUUGUCGUGAAUUGUUUGGUCAUCAGGUGUGAAUAGUGAUCCCCGAUAAUCGUUCGAUUAAUCGAUUAAUCGAAUACUUCCUACAGAAAUCGAUUAUUAAUCGAACGAAUACUGCGCAACCAAUAAUCGAAGCGAACGAAUAAUUCACGUCAAUUAAUCGAUUCAAACUCAGAGAAAAAAAACGUACGGCCGCUGCAGUUUUAUCCUGAAAUUCAAUCAUUAUCUUUGACGCUCCCUUAAACUUGUAAACGAAACUCAAUGCCGUCUACGCGAAUUGGGCUUCGUUUACAAGUUCAGGGGAGCGUAAAGGAUAAUAAUUUAAUUUCAGGCGGAAUGAACACUUUUUAGAUUCCAGAUGGCUUUCUAGCAAAUGAGGAAUAUUAGUCUAACUCAUUAUUCAUUCCAUUAUGACGAUUAAUCGGCUAAUCGAAUGUUUGGAGCGAUUAAUCGUAUCGAAUAACAAACUGCUAAAAAGUAUUCGAUUAGCUGAUGAACGAUUAAUUUCGAAAAUCGGGGAUCACUAGGUGUGAACUAUAUGAGAUUAGGCCAACUGACAUGUGCGAUAUGGGUUCCCACAAUCCAAUCGACGAAAAAAACAUCGACCUAACAACGACCGUAACGCUGUUACCUAUUCACGAUGACGACGAUUAGGUAUCGACAUCUGGAUACGGCAUUAGUUUGUGUGAGGCAAACUAUUCUCUAUCAUAUUAGUCGGCCCGAAUCAGUUUAUAUUUGCUAAAAUUUGUAUGAAAUUUUUUUCUUGGUAUAAUUUUUUCUACUUAAAGUACGUUGUCAUGACCCUAAUUUGAAUUAUUUUCUAUAGACGUUCAGAUAUUCUCAAAAAAACUUGUCAUUAUAAUAUAAAAUUAUCUCAAAACAUAUUUUUUAUGAUGUUUUUUCACCACUUGCAGGCAAUGGUGAUUUUCACUUACAUAGAGUACUAAUUUGAUUAUGGAAAAAUCAUGUUGAUUCAUAAUUUUCAUUUUAAAAGUGUAUUCAUUCCUUCUACAAAUCCAUACUGUCAUGCCUAUUCCCCAAUAUCGUCAACGCGGAUAGUUCGUUAGUCGAAAAUACUGAAUAAUUAAACAAACCAAAUGGCAUCACUGGUGGUUCUUUUUUCCACUCCGCUAAAUUGUCAUCUCAAACAAAAACAAAUGGAUCAUACAACUGCUAUGAAUACAUUCGACUCGUUCGCUUCCAUCAAUCGGUAAGUGAGAAAGAUGAUUUCUCCCAUCAGCACAGUGCGGAUUUCCACUUUUAUCACAGCAGCCAACAACAUCCGUUUUCCUGCAGCAGUAACCUCCAACCCCUGUUGGCAAUGUCGGGGGACAGCAUUAACAGCAGCAGCAGCAGAAUUUGACCAUGGUAUGGUAUUGCGAAGAACUUUUCCCAUUAGAGGUUCCGUGCUUCGCGCACAUUCAAAAAUCCUCUUCAGACACGAAAACUCAACGACAAGGAGGUAUUUAUCAACUUGCUCAGCUGAAUUACCACCCCGGAGGAACCCGAAUGCACUGAUUCCGUAGUAUAGUAGAAUGAAAAUAGGCGAGGUUAGCGAACGUAGUCGCAUGAUAUUUUAAUGUUCGCAUUUUUAUCCGGAUCAUACAACUGCUAUGAAUACAUCCGACUCAAUCAAUCGGCGAGUGAGAAAGAUGAUUUCCCUCAUCACCACAUUGCUUAUUUCCACUUCUGUCACACCAGCCAACAGCAUCAGCUUUCCCGCAGCAGUAUCCUUUAAGUCCAGGGUGCUAUUCCGGGGAAUAGCAUCAACAGCAACAGCAGCAGGACCUGGCCAUCGAUAGUAUUUCGAGCAAUUUUCCCCAUCGGAGAUCCCGUGCUUCACGCACAUUGAAGAAUCCUCCUCAGCCACAUAUCUGUGUCAUCAAGGGCAAGGAGGUAUUCAUCAAUGUACUCAGUCGGAUUUGAAUCGUCUAUCCAGACAACCCGGAUGCACCGAUUCCAUUAUAUACCUUAUUUUUAUUAUACAUGGUUUUUUAUUAUUUUUCUUCAAUAAAAUGAUUAAAAUCGA